GAUGAACGCUGGCGGCGUGCCUAAUACAUGCAAGUCGAGCGAACGGACGAGAAGCUUGCUUCUCUGAUGUUAGCGGCGGACGGGUGAGUAACACGUGGAUAACCUACCUAUAAGACUGGGAUAACUUCGGGAAACCUGAGCUAAUACCGGAUAAUAUUUUGAACCGCAUGGUUCAAAAGUGAAAGACGGUCUUGCUGUCACUUAUAGAUGGAUCCGCGCUGCAUUAGCUAGUUGGUAAGGUAACGGCUUACCAAGGCAACGAUGCAUAGCCGACCUGAGAGGGUGAUCGGCCACACUGGAACUGAGACACGGUCCAGACUCCUACGGGAGGCAGCAGUAGGGAAUCUUCCGCAAUGGGCGAAAGCCUGACGGAGCAACGCCGCGUGAGUGAUGAAGGUCUUCGGAUCGUAAAACUCUGUUAUUAGGGAAGAACAUAUGUGUAAGUAACUGUGCACAUCUUGACGGUACCUAAUCAGAAAGCCACGGCUAACUACGU
rnacentral:rRNA from 1 species